GAGUUUGAUCAUCGCUCAGAUUGAACGCUGGCGGCAGGCCUAACACAUGCAAGUCGAGCGGUAGAGAGGAGCUUGCUUCUCUUGAGAGCGGCGGACGGGUGAGUAAUGCCUAGGAAUCUGCCUAGUGGUGGGGGAUAACGUUCGGAAACGGACGCUAAUACCGCAUACGUCCUACGGGAGAAAGCGGGGGAUCUUCGGACCUCGCGCCAUUAGAUGAGCCUAGGUCGGAUUAGCUAGUUGGUGAGGUAAUGGCUCACCAAGGCGACGAUCCGUAACUGGUCUGAGAGGAUGAUCAGUCACACUGGAACUGAGACACGGUCCAGACUCCUACGGGAGGCAGCAGUGGGGAAUAUUGGACAAUGGGCGAAAGCCUGAUCCAGCCAUGCCGCGUGUGUGAAGAAGGUCUUCGGAUUGUAAAGCACUUUAAGUUGGGAGGAAGGGUCGUAACCUAAUACGUUACGGCUUUGACGUUACCGACAGAAUAAGCACCGGCUAACUUCGUGCCAGCAGCCGCGGUAAUACGAAGGGUGCAAGCGUUAAUCGGAAUUACUGGGCGUAAAGCGCGCGUAGGUGGUUCAGCAAGUUGGAUGUGAAAGCCCUGGGCUCAACCUGGGAACUGCAUCCAAAACUACUGAGCUAGAGUACGGUAGAGGGUAGUGGAAUUUCCUGUGUAGCGGUGAAAUGCGUAGAUAUAGGAAGGAACACCAGUGGCGAAGGCGACUACCUGGACUGAUACUGACACUGAGGUGCGAAAGCGUGGGGAGCAAACAGGAUUAGAUACCCUGGUAGUCCACGCCCGUAACGAUGUCGACUAGCCGUUGGGAUCCUUGAGAUCUUAGUGGCCGCAGCUACGCAUUAAGUCGACCGCCUGGGGA
rnacentral:rRNA from 1 species